rnacentral:rRNA from 1 species
UACAGAGGGUGCGAGCGUUAAUCGGAAUUACUGGGCGUAAAGCGUGCGUAGACGGUUAUCUAAGUCGGAUGUGAAAGCCCCGGGCUCAACCUGGGAAUUGCAUUCGAGACUGAAUAGCUAGGGUGCGGUAGAGGGAAGCGGAAUUUCCGGUGUAGCGGUGAAAUGCGCAGAUAUCGGGAAGAACACCUAUGGCGAAGGCAGCUCUCUGGGACGGUACUGACGCUGAGACGCGAAAGCGUGGGGAGCGAACAGG